UACGUAGGGUGCAAGCGUUGUCCGGAAUUAUUGGGCGUAAAGAGCUCGUAGGCGGUUCGUCACGUCGGGAGUGAAAACUCGGAGCUUAACUCCGAGCCUGCUUCCGAUACGGGCAGACUAGAGGUAGGCAGGGGAGAGCGGAACUCCUGGUGUAGCGGUGAAAUGCGCAGAUAUCAGGAGGAACACCGGUGGCGAAGGCGGUUCUCUGGGCAUGUCCUGACGCUGAGGAGCGAAAGUGUGGGGAGCGAACAGG
rnacentral:rRNA from 1 species